rnacentral:rRNA from 12 species
GAGGGGCCACACUGUGCUCUGAGUGCCCAAUCCCAUCAGAUCUCAGAAAGAUAAGCAGGGCCAGGCCUGGUUAGUACUUGGAUAAGAGACCACUUUGGAAGACCAGAGGCGAUUAGCCUCA